AGUGAACGCUGGCGGUAGGCCUAAUACAUGCAAGUCGAGCGACAGCACAGGAAGCGUUUGCUCUUACGGGUGGCGAGUGGCGGACGGGUGAGGAAUACAUCACAAUCUACUUUGUCUUGGGGGAUAACGUAGGGAAACUUACGCUAACACCUCAUACGACCUACGGCUUGAAUCAGGAGAUCUUCGCACCUUUCCCGAUUCAAUGAGCCGAUGUCGGAUUAGCUAGUUGGCGGGGUAAAGGCCCACCAAGGCGACGAUCCGUAGCUGGUCUGAGAGGAUGAUCAGCCACACUGGAACUGAGACACGGUCCAGACUCCUACGGGAGGCAGCAGUGGGGAAUCUUGCACAAUGGGCGAAAGCCUGAUCGAGCAACACCGCGUGAGUGAUGAAGGUCUUCGGGUUGUAAAGCUCUUUUGUUGGGAAAGAAAAAAAGUAUGUGAAUCUAUGGAUGUUUUGACGGUACCCAAAGAAUAAGCCACGGCUAACUUCGUG
rnacentral:rRNA from 1 species